GAUGAAGAACGCAGCGAAAUGCGAUACGUAAUGUGAAUUGCAGAUUUCAGUGAAUCAUCGAAUCUUUGAACGCACAUUGCGCCCGCCAGUAUUCUGGCGGGCAUGCCUGUUCGAGUGUCAUUUCAACCAUCAAGCCUUCGCUUGUGUUGGGGCCCCGCGGCUGCCGCGGUCCCCUAAAUCCAGUGGCGGGCUCGUCGUCGUACCGAGCGCAGUAGACAUCCUCGCUCCGGGAACCCGACGGGUGCCGGCCGUGAAACCCCCCACAUCAAGGUUGACCUCGGAUCAGGUAGGAAUACCCGCUGAACUUAAGCAUAUCAAUAAGCGGAGGA
rnacentral:misc_RNA from 1 species